CUGUUAUCCCCACGGUAACUUGUUUGUUUCCUUUUUAGGGUUGUAUAAGUAAAAUGAUAAAGAAAAGAUUUGGUUUUUUACCGCCCCAGUUGAAAAGUUAAUUGAAGUUCGACGGGGUCUUGUCGUCUUCUCUAUAAAUUUAAGUCUUUUUACUUAAAUGAAAAUUUUAAGAGAUCAUUAUAAUAAAGAAUUUAACUCGUUGAUCCUUUCGUCCUAUCCUUUAAUUAAAAGGCGAGUGAUUAUGCUACCUUAGCACGAAAUUGCGGCUAUUUAAAAGUCAUUGAGCAGGACAUACUAAUUA
rnacentral:rRNA from 1 species